rnacentral:tRNA from 1 species
UGGGGUGUCGCCAAGUGGUAAGGCUGCGGGUUUUGGUCCCGCCACUCGGAGGUUCGAGUCCUUCCACCCCAG